rnacentral:sRNA from 1 species
CUCGCCGCCGGGGCAUCAGCAUCCUGGAGAAGCUCAUCAAAACAUGCCCGGUGUGGCUGCAGCUGAGUCUGGGCCAGGCAGAGGUGGCCAGGAUCCUGCACCGGGUGGUGGCCGGGAUGUUCCUGGUCCGCCGGGACAGCAGCUCGAAGCAGCUGGUGCUCUGUGUCCACUUUCCUUCUCUGAACGAAAGCUCGGCCGAGGUGCUCGAAUACACCAUUAAGGAAGAAAAGUCGAUAUUGUACCUGGAAGGCUCGGCUCUUGUGUUUGAGGACAUCUUCAGACUGAUUGCAUUCUACUGUGUCAGUAGGUGAGUAGACCCGGCCCUGCAGGAGGUUAUCUGGUUGCAGCAAACAUCACAUGCAACCCUGGGUGGGUGCAGGGGACUUCACAGGGAAGCCCCAGAGGGAGGGGUGUGGCCCAGAGGAUGCAGAGAGAGGGCACAGGCCCCUCUGGGAACCACAGGGGAUGUGUUGGCUCUGAGGCUUUCUCACACUAUCUGAUAAGAGCCCCUCCCUUCCACACCUGCCCCUCUGGCUCACGGCCUGUCUCUCAGCUUCCUGUAUUAUCAGCUUCAAGGACAGCCUGGAGUCCUGCGUGGACCAGGCCUCCCAUUGCAGGGGUUCUAGAAGAAACUUCCUGUAGGGGCAGCAACAGGGGCUGAUCCCCCUUCAUGGGAGGUAGCUUGUGAUUACUAAGCAGCUGCUGGGUGGAGCGGGUGUCUGCUAACCACCCUGAGAACUGCCUGUUUAUUCAGAACUGGUUUUGGGUCAGUGAGAAUUUUAAAAUACACUUUGGUGCCAUAAGUCAAUGACUUAAGCUACGGGACCUUGACAAGGGCUGGUUAAAAAUGGGGUGG